rnacentral:misc_RNA from 1 species
GAUGAAGAACGUAAUGAAAUGCGAUAAGUAAUGUGAAUUGCAGAAUUCAGUGAAUCAUCGAAUCUUUGAACGCACAUUGCGCCCGCCAGUAUUCUGGCGGGCAUGCCUGUUCGAGCGUCAUUUCAACCAUCAAGCCCCAGGCUUGUGUUGGGGACCUGCGGCUGCCGCAGGCCCUGAAAACCAGUGGCGGGCUCGCUAGUCACACCGAGCGUAGUAGCAUACACAUCGCUCAGGGCGUGCUGCGGGUUCCGGCCGUUAAACCCCUUUUUUACCCAAGGUUGACCUCGGAUCAGGUAGGAAGACCCGCUGAACUUAAGCAUAUCAAUAAGCGGAGGA